rnacentral:rRNA from 1 species
GACGAACGCUGGCGGCGUGCUUAACACAUGCAAGUCGAACGGAAAGGCCCUGCUUUUGUGGGGUGCUCGAGUGGCGAACGGGUGAGUAACACGUGAGUAACCUGCCCUUGACUUUGGGAUAACUUCAGGAAACUGGGGCUAAUACCGGAUAGGAGCUCCUGCUGCAUGGUGGGGGUUGGAAAGUUUCGGCGGUUGGGGAUGGACUCGCGGCUUAUCAGCUUGUUGGUGGGGUAGUGGCUUACCAAGGCUUUGACGGGUAGCCGGCCUGAGAGGGUGACCGGCCACAUUGGGACUGAGAUACGGCCCAGACUUCUACGGGAGGCAGCAGUGGGGAAUAUUGCACAAUGGGCGGAAGCCUUAUGCAGCAAAGCCGCGUGCGGGAUGACGGCCUUCGGGUUGUAAACCGCUUUCGCCUGGGACGAAGCGUGAGUGACGGUAAUGGGUAAAGAAGCACCGGCUAACUACGUG